CCAUGUGCUAAGCAAGGUGCGCUAAAGCGAGUGUUGUGGACCGUUGCUUAAAGUACUGUGGAAUCUGCUGCGUGGAAUGCAAGUGUGUCCCAUCACGGACGUAUGGCAAUAAGCACGAGUGUCCUUGCUACAGAAACAAGCUCAAAAAGAAGGGAAAACCAAAAUGCCCUUGAGGAGUCGAGUAUUUACUAUGGUUGCCAUUACUAGUAGUUUUGUGUCAUGUUCUUGCACAAGUGUUAUUUACUAUGUACGCGGUGUGGUAAUGUUGAUAAGAAUAAGACGGCAUGUAUUAGGGGUGAGAGAGUAAGGUUUAUCCUGAAAUAAAGGGAGAAGAUGAGGGGUUGUUUUGGAUGUUGUUGGUGCCUUUUUUCUAGUCUUGGAACUUGCUAAGAGCAUUUCGGUGACACGUUGCAUGAGAAUUUUUUAUUAUGAAAUGAUAAUUUGAUACCAUUGGGAGA